rnacentral:rRNA from 1 species
AUUGAACGCUGGCGGCAUGCCUUACACAUGCAAGUCGAACGGUAACAGGUCUUCGGAUGCUGACGAGUGGCGCACGGGUGAGUAAUACAUCGGAACGUGCCCGAUCGUGGGGGAUAACGAAGCGAAAGCUUUGCUAAUACCGCAUACGAUCUACGGAUGAAAGCAGGGGACCGCAAGGCCUUGCGCGAACGGAGCGGCCGAUGGCAGAUUAGGUAGUUGGUGGGAUAAAAGCUUACCAAGCCGACGAUCUGUAGCUGGUCUGAGAGGACGACCAGCCACACUGGGACUGAGACACGGCCCAGACUCCUACGGGAGGCAGCAGUGGGGAAUUUUGGACAAUGGGCGAAAGCCUGAUCCAGCCAUGCCGCGUGCAGGAUGAAGGCCUUCGGGUUGUAAACUGCUUUUGUACGGAACGAAAAGACUCUGGUUAAUACCUGGGGUCCAUGACGGUACCGUAAGAAUAAGCACCGGCUAACUACGUG